AAAAAAUGUAAUUACAUUU
rnacentral:miRNA from 1 species